CUAAAACGUUAACUUCGUUUCGAUUCUGUGAUCGAAAAUCGGAGACAAAUCCAAGAAUUCUUCUUAGGAAAGGGUCGAUUUCGCAGUGGAGCCAAAAGGGCGAUCCAGCAACGCAGUAACGAACUGUCUCUCGGCGGCGAGCAUGCGGCAAUUAAUCAAGCCGCAAUAAAUUAAUUGCCGCUCAGGCAGGAAUUAAUUACCACCCCGGCAAUAAUUAUGGCUAACGCAGAAAUAAUUAUCGUGCGCCACGGCAACGCGUUGAUCCCUCUGCACGACGAUAAUCCGCUGGUAAUUCGAUACAUUAAUGCAUCUGGAAGAAAGAUCGCAAAGCGAAAUAUAAGCCAGCCACCGUUUCGCGCGCAGUUUUAUCAUCCUACCGACGCAAAUGUCGUUUAUUAAUUGGAGCACCGAUUAAGUCAAAGGGCUCGUGUAUAAGGUGGUCGAAGACGUUAUUCAAAAGCAAUUCUCAAUGCGAUUCGUUUUAUGGACUAUGGUGCUUCGUUACGAAAUGAAGUUUCCUUGCACGAACAUUGCGGUGCCGGAAGAAUUUUUGUUUGAUGCGUUUCGCGUAGCAUUAAAAAACAUAUGGCAUG
rnacentral:misc_RNA from 1 species